UGGAGGAAAGCAGGGGAUCGUAAGACCUUGCGCUUUUGGAGCGGCCGAUGUCUGAUUAGCUAGUUGGUGGGGUAAUGGCCUACCAAAGCUUCGAUCAGUAGCUGGUCUGAGAGGACGGCCAGCCACACUGGGACUGAGACACGGCCCAGACUCCUACGGGAGGCAGCAGUGGGGAAUUUUGGACAAUGGGCGCAAGCCUGAUCCAGCCAUGCCGCGUGAGUGAAGAAGGCCUUCGGGUUGUAAAGCUCUUUCAGCCGGGAAGAAAAGGCUGCGACUAAUAAUCGCAGUUCAUGACGGUACCGGAAGAAGAAGCACCGGCUAACUACGCGCCAGCAGCCGCGGUAAUACGUAGGGUGCGAGCGUUAAUCGGAAUUACUGGGCGUAAAGGGUGCGCAGGCGGUUUUGUAAGUCAGAUGUGA
rnacentral:rRNA from 1 species